AAUGUGAUAGAGGAAUGAUCCAGAGACUUUGAAGGACAGAACCUGGAAGAAAUUGCAAGGAUUUCCAUCCACAGCGGGGGAUGGUUGAGGAGGCUUGGAAUAUUGAGGGAAGAGAGAUUCCAGGUGGGAGGCAGUUGAUCUUUCUAUCUUGAGACAGCAAAGGUGCAGGUCUGAUCAGAGACUGGAACCUGAGCCUUACAAAAUCCCUCAUUGAACUUAACCACCAUUUCCCCCCAAAGAUACCAAGAAGUGUGGCAGAUACCGGAGAAGAAUAAGAACAGCAUAACAAGAUCUCGCAGAGCUCCUAUGACACCCCAGAUCUGGACAUUGGCCCUGCUGGGAUAAAGACUAGGGGUCACAAACCUGAACCUCUCAGAGACCAGGCUGGCAAGACUGAGUCUCUCAACUUUGGAGGGAGGGAAAAAGAUAUUUUAGACAGAUAGGGACUUCCUUUCCCCUCUUUGCUAUAGACCCCAAUCUUCAGACAUCUUUCUUAUUUUACCCCUAACCACAAUUUGUUAGAAUAAAGUUGUCAGUUAUCCUAAAUUGGCUUCCUUGUCAUAGUGGAAGAGGGAGAGAGCUGAUUUCUCUCUCUCUCUCUUUCCCCAAGGGAAGAGGUUCACCCAUUAAAUAAGUUAUUAGAGGGGAGUAAAGGCAGGGUUCGUGGGGAGACAUAUUUGAGGAAGACUGAAGGGGGGAAUCCAUCUCACCCUCCUUCUACCUUUUGGGCAUUUAUCAUCAACUCUUUCUCCAUUAUACCCACACCAACCCUCUACUACAACAACAGCCCUGGAAGGUCAAGAGUCCUAAAAGCUGCUUCUGGGGGCCACUACUGCUGCUGUUCUUCAGCUUUGAUCACCUUCCAGGACCCUUGGGGAACUCAUACAGUCUCCUAGACUGUCCCCAAUACACAUUUGCUAAGGUUAGGAAAGAUGGGAUGCUCAAGCUGCUUGAGCCCCAACUGAUGGUUGGG
ensembl:lncRNA